rnacentral:rRNA from 1 species
AACGAACGCUGGCGGCAGGCCUAACACAUGCGAGUCGAACGGAUGUAGCAAUACAUUAGUGGCGCACGGGUGCGUAACACGUGGGAAUGUACCCCAGGGUAAGGAAUAAUGUCUGGAAACGGACACUAAUACCUUAUAAUGACUUUGGUCCAAAGAUUUAUCGCCCUGGGAUCAGCCCGCGCCUGAUUAGCUAGUUGGUGAGGUAAUGGCUCACCAAGGCUACGAUCAGUAGCUGGUCUGAGAGGAUGAUCGGCCACACUGGAACUGAGACACGGUCCAGACUCCUACGGGAGGCAGCAGUGAGGAAUAUUGCACAAUGGAGGAAACUCUGAUGCAGCCAUGCCGCGUGAGUGAAGAAGGCCUUCGGGUUGUAAAGCUCUUUUAGUCGUGAAGAUAAUGACGGUAGCGACAGAAAAAGCCCCGGCUAAAUUCGUGCCAGCAGCCGCAGUAA